UACGUAGGGGGCUAGCGUUGUCCGGAUUUAUUGGGCGUAAAGAGCGUGUAGGCGGCCAGGUAGGUCUGCUGUGAAAACUCGAGGCUCAACCUCGAGACGUCGGCGGAAACCAUCUGGCUAGAGUCCGGAAGAGGAGAGUGGAAUUCCUGGUGUAGCGGUGAAAUGCGCAGAUAUCAGGAAGAACACCCGUGGCGAAGGCGGCUCUCUGGGACGGUACUGACGCUGAGUCGCGAAAGCGUGGGGAGCGAACAGG
rnacentral:rRNA from 1 species